rnacentral:rRNA from 1 species
UACAGAGGUCUCAAGCGUUUGUUCGGAUUCAUUGGGCGUAAAGGGUGCGUAGGCGGCGCGGUAAGUCGGGUGUGAAAUCUCGGAGCUUAACUCCGAAACUGCAUUCGAUACUGCCGUGCUUGAGGACUGGAGAGGAGACUGGAAUUUACGGUGUAGCGGUGAAAUGCGUAGAUAUCGUAAGGAAGACCAGUGGCGAAGGCGGGUCUCUGGACAGUUCCUGACGCUGAGGCAACGAAGGCCAGGGGAGCAAACGGG